GACAGAGGGUGCGAACGUUGUUCGGAAUUACUGGGCGUAAAGCGCGUGUAGGCGGCAACGCAAGUCGGGCGUGAAAUCCCACGGCUCAACCGUGGAAGUGCACUCGAAACUGCGUAGCUAGAGUCCUGGAGAGGAAGGUGGAAUGCUUGGUGUAGAGGUGAAAUUCGUAGAUAUCAAGCGGAACACCGGUGGCGAAGGCGGCCUUCUGGACAGUGACUGACGCUGAGACGCGAAAGCGUGGAGAGCAAACAGG
rnacentral:rRNA from 1 species